GAUGAACGCUGGCGGCGUGCCUAAUACAUGCAAGUCGAGCGAAUGGAUUAAGAGCUUGCUCUUAUGAAGUUAGCGGCGGACGGGUGAGUAACACGUGGGUAACCUGCCCAUAAGACUGGGAUAACUCCGGGAAACCGGGGCUAAUACCGGAUAACAUUUUGAACCGCAUGGUUCGAAAUUGAAAGGCGGCUUCGGCUGGCACUUAUGGAUGGACACGCGUCGCAUUAGCUAGUUGGUGAGGUAACGGCUCACCAAGGCAACGAUGCGUAGCCGACCUGAGAGGGUGAUCGGCCACACUGGGACUGAGACACGGCCCAGACUCCUACGGGAGGCAGCAGUAGGGAAUCUUCCGCAAUGGACGAAAGUCUGACGGAGCAACGCCGCGUGAGUGAUGAAGGCUUUCGGGUCGUAAAACUCUGUUGUUAGGGAAGAACAAGUGCUAGUUGAAUAAGCUGGCACCUUGACGGUACCUAACCAGAAAGCCACGGCUAACUACGUGCCAGCCGCCGCUGUAA
rnacentral:rRNA from 1 species